rnacentral:rRNA from 1 species
UAUGAGAGUUCGAUCCUGGCUCAGGAUGAACGCUGGCGGCGUGCCUAAUACAUGCAAGUCGAACGGGGAUGGUAGCAAUACCAUCCUAGUGGCGAACGGGUGAGUAACACGUUGGGAACCUGCCCCUUAGACCGGGAUACCCGAGGGAAACUUUGGCUAAUACCGGAUAUGUCGCACUGACACAAGUCGGUGUGAUGAAAGGCACCUUUCAAGGUGCGCUUAGGGAUGGACCUGCGGCGGAUUAGCUAGUUGGUGAGAUAACAGCCCACCAAGGCGAGGAUCCGUAGCCGAACUGAGAGGUUGAUCGGCCACACUGGAACUGAGACACGGUCCAGACUCCUACGGGAGGCAGCAGUAGGGAGUAUUCGGCAAUGGGGGAAACCCUGACCGAGCAACGCCGCGUGAAGGAUUAAGGCCUUCGGGUUGUAAACUUCUGUGACGAGGGACGAAUGGCGCUAGGAGGAAAUGCCUAGCGAUUGACGGUACCUCGUUAGAAAGCUACGGCUAACUACGUGCCAGCAGCCGCGGUAAUACGUAGGUAGCAAGCGUUAUCCGGAAUUAUUGGGCGUAAAGAGUGAGCAGGCGGUGAGCCAAGUCCAAAGUCAAAUACCGUUGCUUAACGGCGGUCCGCUUUGGAAACUGGUUCGCUAGAGUGUGGGAGAGGUAAACGGAACUCCGAAUGUAGCGGUGAAAUGCACAGAUAUUCGGAAGAACACCAGAGGCGAAGGCGGUUUACCAGACCAAUACUGACGCUCAGUCACGAAAGCGUGGGGAGCAAAUAGGCUUAGAUACCCUAGUAGUCCACGCUGUAAACGAUGAGAACUAGAUGUCGGAAGAAUCCGGCGUCACAGCUAACGCAUUAAGUUCUCCGCCUGGGUAUUACGUUCGCAAGAAUAAAACUUAAAGGAAUUGACGGGGACCCGCACAAGCAGUGGAGCAUGUGGAUUAAUUCGACGCUACGCGAAAAACCUUACCAGGGUUGGACAUGUUAGGCUAAUACUCGGCGAAAGUUGGGGGAUAUACGUCUAAUGAAGGUGGUGCAUGGUUGUCGUCAGCUCGUGUCGUGAGAUGUUGGGUUAAGUCCCAAAACGAGCGCAACCCUUGUCCUUAGUUGCCAUCAUUCAGUUGGGAACUCUAAGGAGACUGCCGGUGCAAGCCGGAGGAAGAUGGGGACGACGUCAAAUCAUCAUGCCCCUUAUGCCCUGGGCCUCACACGUGCUACAAUGGGCGGCACAAAGAGCAGCAAGUGAGCGAUCACAAGCUAAUCUCAUAAAACCGCUCUCAGUUCGGAUUGAAGCCUGCAACUCGGCUUCAUGAAGCUGGAAUUGCUAGUAAUCGCAGAUCAGCAUUGCUGCGGUGAAUACGUUCUCGGGUCUUGUACACACUGCCCGUCACACCAUGAGAGUCUGCAACGCUCGAAGUCGUUAUCCUAACUUAGCAAUAAGGGGGAGGCGCCUAAGGCGGGGCCGAUGAUUGGGGUUAAGUCGUAACAAGGUAUCCCUACGAGAACGUGGGGAUGGAUCACCUCCUU